AGCUCCAAUAGCGUAUAUUAAAGUUGUUGCGGUUAAAAAGCUCGUAGUUGGAUUUCUGCCUUGGACAACCGGUCCACACUCUUGUGUGAGUAUCUGGCUUGGCCUGGGCAUCUUCUUGGAGAACGUUGAAGCUUAGUUGCUUCAGCGGUGAUUCAGGACUUUUACUUUGAGGAAAUUAGAGUGUUCGCAGCAGGCUUUCGCCGUGAAUACAUUAGCAUGGAAUAAUAAUAUAGAUCUUUGGUCUUUGUUUGUUGGUUCUUAAGCCGAAGAGAUGAUGAAUAGGAUCAGCUGGGGGGCAUCCGUAUUAACGCGUCAGAGGUGGAAUUCUUGGAUUGCGUUACGACGAACUACUGCGAAAGCAUUUGCCAAGG
rnacentral:rRNA from 1 species